rnacentral:lncRNA from 1 species
GAUAUUUUUCUGUCUUCUUUAUUUUUAAAUUACACUUUAUGUUCUAGGGUACAUGUGUAGAACAUGCAGGUUUGUUACAUAGGUAUACACAUGUCAUGGCUUUCUGCAUCCAUCACCUCAUCAUCUACAUUAGGUAUUUCUCCUUAUGUUAUCCCACCCCUAGCCUCCCACCCACCAACAGGCCCCAGUCUGUGAUGUUCCCCUCCCUGUGUCCAUGUGUUCUCAUUGUUUAACUCCCACUUACGAGUGAGAACAUGUGGUGUUCGGUUUUCCGUUCUUGUGUCAGUUUGCUGAGAAUGAUGGUUUCCAGCUUUAUCCAUGUUCCUGCAAAGGACAUAAACUCAUCCUUUUUUCGGCUGCAUAGUAUUCUAUAGUGUGUAUGUGCCACAUUUUCUUUAUCCAGUCUAUCACUGAUGGGCAUUUGGGUUGGUUCCAAGUCUUUGCUGUUGUAAACAGUGUCUGCCUUCUUUUUCAGCCAGUCUCAGGUCUUGCCUUAGGCAUUGCUCCUUCUGGAAAGCACCCGACCCCACCCCUGUUCUGCAGGGCUGUGUCAGAUUGCAAGCUUCUGCAAAGAUAUGGAACUUAUUUGUUUUACUCACUGUCCUGUCUCCAAGUAUUUAAUAUAACAGAGACUUACUGAAUAUUGGAAUGGAUGAAUGAAAAUCGUGUCUAGCACAGUGUCAUACUGAUUGCAGAUGAGUUAACUAAAAAGUUAACAUUUACUAGAAGAUGGUAUUUCUUCAUUGUGGUUUGGCCUGAUUUUAUUGGUGGAUCCUGCUGACAACGUUAUAUACUAAUAUUAAAAUGAUAGGCUGAGCAUGGUAGCUCACACUUCUAAUCCCAGGACUUUGGGAGGACAAGGUGGGAGGGUUGUUUGAGCUCAGGAGUUUGAGACCAGCCUGGAUAAUGUAGUGAGAUUCCGUCUCCCAAGGCAAAACAAACCCAAAAGGGGAGCAUAUUAUUGCUCUUUUAAAUAUAUGCCCUGACUAUGAUGUUGCUACAAAAAUAAGCCUGAUCUGGAAGGAGACAGAACCAGUUUUCAGUCCUGAUUCUCUCCUUCCUGGUUGUAUUGGUUGGUUAAUCUCUUUGAGCCUCAAAUCCUUGAGUAGAAAAAUGGGAAUAAUAUAACCUGCCUUGUGGGUUCUAUGUAAUAAGUGAAUGAAAUAAUAUCUGAAAGGCACUUAGUAUGGGGGCUGGCAAAAAUAAGUACUUAAAAAUGUUAGUCAUGAUUAGUAUUACAGUAAGGAUAAUAAACACUACUUUGCUUGGCAACUAGAUGCUUGACAGACAGUAGCUUAUAUUAUUACUAUUAUUAUAAAGGAAUGCUGGAGUUUUAUUGUAAUGACUAUGAGCUGAAUUGGCAGGAAGCUGCUCUUUAGAGACUCAGGGAAGCAGGAGCCAGUGCUGGGAAGGCUCUUCCUCUUGUUUCCUAGAGGCAGAGAAAGAGUGGUCAGUUCGGAUUGCACCAGAUCGAAGGAGAGCUUUGAAAGGGAGUCACUGAACGGGUAGCCCCUUCUGGCAACUUACUUCCUGGGACAAAGCACAGCAAGCACUUGGAGAGGCCUUUGUUGAGUAGCUUGGGAUCUUUCCUCCUGCCAACCUGCAGGGAAUAAAACAUGGCCCAGGGCAGACUUUGGAAUUGCAUGGGGUGAACCGGGUAAGGGUGCUUAAGGGAGAACUUUACUCGGGAAAGGUAGUAUUUGUGAAUUUCUAUUGAAACCUCAUGCACACAUCUUUGUAACAAGCAUUAUAAAUGUCAGGAGGCUCAACCACCAGUUUGAAGGCAUUUCGCCUCUAACCUGAGGCUUCUAAGGACUGCUUUACCUAUAAUGUGCUCCUUGCUGAUUCCUCCACACUCAUUUUCCAAAGGCUGCCCUUUAAGGGUAUAAUGAAUACUGCUAUUUCUCUUCCCAACUAAGAGCCAGAAGGUGAGCUGGGUUGUAGAAUCCCAGAGAUUUGGGUAUUUGGGACAUGCAGGCCUAUUGCCUCUCUGGCUUCUGACCAAGGGCACUAGCACCUUCUAUGUGCAGGCCGGGGACUCCUGGAUACUUGGAUGGUGUGACGAGAAAUUUACAAGCCUAAAGUGUCAGAAGAGGGUGGAUCUGGGGCCUGGUCAGAGGUGGGCUGGAACUUUGGCUCUGCUACUUACAUCAGUGCGCCCUUGGUUAAGGUAACAGCGCUGCUCUGAGCCUGUGUGUCCUUAUCUGUGAAGGCGGAUCAUAUCCUUACUUAAUAGGACAAUCGAUACGUCUGGAUUUAGUUCUACCCCCUAAUGAUUUGCAUUCUGUUUAUUCCCUGUGUUUUCAAUUUCCUGUCUUCUUUGGAAUUCCUUGGAUAUUUUUCAGUGUUUCAUUUUGACUUAACUAUGGAGUUUUUGACUGUAUCUGCUGUGGACUGAAUUGUAUCUCUCAAAUUCAUAUGCUGAAGUCCUAACUCUGAAUUUGGUGGUAUUUGUAGGUGGGGCCUUUGGGAGGUAUUUAGCUUUAGAUGAAGGCAUGAGGGUAUUGCCUUCAUUAUGGGAUUAGUGGCCUUAUGAUGUGGUUUGGCUCUGUGUCCACACCCAAAUCUCAUGUUGAAGUGUAAUUCCCAGUGUUGAAGGAGAUGCCUGGUGGGAGGUGGUUGAAUCAUAAGGUGGACUUCCCCCUUGCUGUUCUUGUGAUAGAAUUCUCACAAGAUCUGGUUGUUUGAAAGGUUUUAGCACUUCCCCCUUUGUGUUCCCUCUCUCUCUCUCUCUCUCUCUCUCUCCUGACACUGUGGUAAGACAUGCUUGCUUCCCCUUCUUCUUCUGCCAUGAUUGUAAGUUUCCUGAGGCCUCCCAGCCAUGCUUCUUGUACAGCCUGUGGAACUGUGAGCCAAUUAAACUUCUUUUCUUCAUAAAAGACUCAGUCUCAGGUAAUUCUUUAUGGCAGUGUGAGAGCAGACUAACAUGCCUUUUAAGAAGAAACACUAGAGAGCUUGCGUC